rnacentral:rRNA from 1 species
CCUACGGGUGGCAGCAGUGAGGAAUAUUGGUCAAUGGGCGCGAGCCUGAACCAGCCAAGUCGCGUGAGGGAUGAAGGUUCUAUGGAUUGUAAACCUCUUUUAUAAGGGAGUAAAGUGUGGGACGUGUCCUCUUUUGUAUGUACCUUACGAAUAAGGAACGGCUAACUCCGUGCCAGCAGCCGCGGUAAUACGGAGGAUGCGAGCGUUAUCCGGAUUUAUUGGGUUUUAAGGGUGCGUAGGCGGGUUAUCAAGUCAGCGGUAAAAUCGUGGGGCUCAACACCGGCCUGCCGUUGAAACUGGUCUUCUUGAGUGAGCGAGAAGUAUGCGGAAUGCGUGGUGUAGCGGUGAAAUGCAUAGAUAUCACGCAGAACUCCGAUUGCGAAGGCAGCAUACCGGCGCUCAACUGACGCUGAGGCACGAAAGCGUGGGGAUCGAACAGGAUUAGAUACCCUUGUAGUC